UACGGAGGUGGCAAGCGUUGCUCGGAUUUACUGGGUGUAAAGGGCGUGUAGGCGGUUCUGUAAGCCUUGUCUUAAAGGCACCGGCUCAACCGAUGUUUCUGACAGGGUACUGCAGGACUUGAGUAUGGAAGAGGUGAGCGGAACUCCCGGUGUAAGGGUGAAAUCUGUAGAUAUCGGGAAGAACACCAGUGGCGAAGGCGGCUCACUAGGCCAUUACUGACGCUGAGAUGCGAAAGCUAGGGGAGCAAACAGG
rnacentral:rRNA from 1 species